ACAAAUUUCUUUCAAAAAAUUUGUUUCGUGAUGGUUUGUCAGUCAGCCAGUACUUUCAUUAGGGGCUAUACCCGUGCCCACCGUUACGAAUAAUCGCACAAACAACUACACCAAAUCUACACAUCACUAAACAGCUGACUCCAAAAUGGACACAAAGACCAGCGGCAAAACUACGCAAAACAAAAUUGUAAUACGGCACUUAUUCGAACGACGUGGACAUUCUCCUCCCCUCUUCAAUAAACUUUUAGCCGCAUAUUUCUUUCUACACAAUAGAAUACAUCUUCAACAAUAUUUUCGCACGAUCGUAAACAAGCGGAGAGACAUACAAUUACUUGUGAGCUGUUUGCACCAAUGUACGCAAAUAACAUAUAACCGGGGGGACUAAAUAUGAGUCUGCUUCUGACUCCGCCUGUCGCUCGGGGCAAGGAUGGGCGUUAUGAAAUGAACUCGCUCUGUUGAUGGGCGUGGUCUCGUCCGUUGCCGUUUGCCUCCUGUCUAUCCUGCUGGAUAAGGCCAGUGAAAAGGGCGCCGAAGAUAUGGCUGACGGGCGCCGCUGGGCCGGAACCUUGCCUGGGUGGAAACCUGCUGGCCUCUCUGGCUCGAGAGCUUCAUGUAGGGACGGAAAUCCUCAGCGUGGAUCUUUUCGUUGCCGGAACCGCUUGCCGUUUUUAUUUAUUGGAUUGUUUACUACCUUUCGGGCGUCGAAUUUGUUUAGUGUCGCUUGUAUAUGUAUUUGAUGUUUGAAUUUCUGUACUGAUUUUAUACGAGUUAUUCAUUUUCUUUUAGCAGCAUUUUAUUUAUGCAUAG